rnacentral:rRNA from 1 species
UGGGGAAUAUUGGACAAUGGGCGCAAGCCUGAUCCAGCCAUGCCGCGUGAGUGAUGAAGGCCUUAGGGUUGUAAAGCUCUUUCACCGAUGAAGAUAAUGACGGUAGUCGGAGAAGAAGCCCCGGCUAACUUCGUGCCAGCAGCCGCGGUAAUACGAAGGGGGCUAGCGUUGUUCGGAAUUACUGGGCGUAAAGCGCACGUAGGCGGACAUUUAAGUCAGGGGUGAAAUCCCGGGGCUCAACCUCGGAACUGCCUUUGAUACUGGGUGUCUGGAGUAUGGAAGAGGUAAGUGGAAUUCCGAGUGUAGAGGUGAAAUUCGUAGAUAUUCGGAGGAACACCAGUGGCGAAGGCGGCUUACUGGUCCAUUACUGACGCUGAGGUGCGAAAGCGUGGGGAGCAAACA